UACGGGGGGGGCAAGCGUUGUUCGGAAUUACUGGGCGUAAAGGGCUCGUAGGCGGCCAACUAAGUCAGACGUGAAAUCCCUCGGCUUAACCGGGGAACUGCGUCUGAUACUGGAUGGCUUGAAUCCGGGAGAGGGAUGCGGAAUUCCAGGUGUAGCGGUGGAAAUGCGUAGAUAUCUGGAGGAACACCGGUGGCGAAGGCGGCAUCCUGGACCGGCAUUGACGCUGAGGAGCGAAAGCCAGGGGAGCAAAGCGGG
rnacentral:rRNA from 1 species